rnacentral:lncRNA from 1 species
GCAAAUUGUUUUAUACUUUUAUUAAACACACAAUAGUACUUGUAUUGAAAAUCAGGACAUCCUCACAUCCAUACUCAUCCCAGGGUGCAUUCCAUGUAGAGUGCACGCCGAAGUUCCGCCGCUGGAAAAUUCGCACACGCCGCCAGACUGCCAGAUUUAUUUAAUCUAUAUUUUGGCAAAAUUUUACGGCGACCUCCCCCCCUCGCCAAAAAAAUUUCGGUCAGUGUGCCAUUUUAGGGGUCAAAAAUGUUUUCCCGACAUGUCAUCGUUAAACUCGUUAAAAAUAAAACAGCGUAAAUUUAAUUGAAUUUCAAGCAAAUCCUUCGUAGUGUUGUGGUUUAGGCGUGCGCCCGUAUUGCGUGCGCCAAAUUUUGGGAUCGAUUCCUGCUCGCGCCACUAUUUUAUUAUUUUUUUUUAUAUUUUUUUUUCUUCGUGAUUUUCGCUUACGCACCGCGUACGAAACGUAUAGCGUAUCGAAUAUGUUGUUGCUUCGUUCUUAAGAAACAACGCAACCCUUUUAGUGGUUUAGUGUUAGCUUUUAAAGCGUUGUCGGAUGAAUAGCCGUGAAGCAGGAAGAUCCGGUGUCGGACGAAUAUCCACGGAGAACAAUUUUUCCCGGCAUUACCAAAUUUUCUCCAUUUAUCCAACUUUUUUUUCUUAAAUCCGAAAAUUUGGUACCAUUCUCUAAAAUUUUUGUCAAUUUAGCUCAUUCUUCUCCAAAUUCACACUUAUUUUUGUUAAUUAACUUUCUCUGGGCAUAGAAAUUACCUGAAUUUGUGUUCAUUUACCCGAAUUUCUUCUGCAAAUCUACCUGGAUUUACCUGAAAUUGCCCACAUGAGCAAUUAUUGGGGGGGGGGGUGUUACACCCCCACACACCCCGGUCGGCACGGCCCUGCGCGCGAGUGGUUUUAGACACAAUAAAACACGAGUCGCGAGUUUAUUGAAAGGUUUCAAAAACAAUUAGGGGCCAUUCACAAAGGAUGUCCGAGCCGAGGGGGGGGGGAGGGGGGUUUGGAAAAUCAGGACAAACUCGGACAUAGGGGGGAGGGGGGGUUUUAGCAAUCCGCAUGUCCGAAAUUUAAAAAAAUUCAAAAACAAAUUUCUUUUUUCCCUCUAUUUUGAGCAGUCCUUCCCAUUGUGAAAUUGGCAUUUUGACUAUGCGGUUAACACUAGAUUUUGUUUGAAUUAGUAAUUUAUAUGUUUCUGUGUUCACAUUUACAGUUAUAAAAAAGUUCUAAAAGUAAAAGUUUUUUACUCUUGAUAUAUACAAGAAUGCGUGAGUUUUUGCGAGGCAUGGCGGAUGUCCGGGGGGAGGGGGGGGUCACUAAUUCGGACAAUGCCGGACAAGGGGGGGAGGGGGGUCUGAAAAUCCAUCAUUUGGCCGGACAUCCUUUGUGAAUGGCCCCUUAGUAUUCUUUAUAUAAGGAAUACUAAGUAGGAAGUGUUUUAUCAAAUAUGAAACCACUGCAUGUAACAUAUUAUACUUGAUUUGGUUGGCAAAAAAGAUCAUGAACCUGUUAAGUUAUCCGAUAAACAAUAGAGACUUAACGACGAUAUUUUCUGAUUGUAUUAUAUUAAGUUUGUACGCCGUUUAGGGGAAAACUGAUACUACGCCGGCACGCCAACAUUAGCAUUUGCACGCCGCUGCGCCGUAGGGCAUCGCAACUCCACGCCGAAGAUCUUCGCGUUUGGCUACAUGGAAUGCACC